rnacentral:lncRNA from 1 species
UCCGCUUACUUGCUAGCCCAACGCUAGUAAGGAAUUUUAGAAAUGGGCUAGUCCAACGCUAGAUCCUUUAGGUCGUCUUGCGCUAGAUUCAUUUUUGUGUGCUAUUCACUACAUUUUCAUGCAUAUUUUCAUUUUUAGGAUCUUUUCUCAUUUUUAUGAUAUUCCCUAUUAUAUUAUCCCCUACCCGCUAUAGGUGCUAAUCAUGUCAUUUAGAAUUGCAUCUCAUUUAAGCUAGUUCAUUUGCUUGUUCAUGUUAGGAUAAUUAUUUUUCAAACAUGGAAAAUGGGUGAUUAUAACUUUUUAGUUUAAAUACCCAUUAAUCCUUGUAUAAGAAAAUUAUGUCACAAGUUUUUGCCUCCCGUACCAUUUAUGUUGCAUUCCCUUUUUCUUUGAUCACUUAUAUCUAUGUAUAUAAUUUAAUUUCUUUUUUAAUUUCAUCAUUUGUAUACUCGUGACACCUUCAAGGAAUUAUUUUGGCCUUCGCAAUUAAUGCGAUUGAUUCGAUUAAACCCUUGAAUGGAUAUUUUGACCCUUUCGAUAUUUUAUAAAUUUAGAUUUGCAUCCAUGUAGGAAACAUCCAAAUAUGAUAAAAUUAAGGGUUAGAUUAGGAAAAUUUUGACUAAACCUCGCAACUAGCUUAGACUAGGUUGAAAGGGUGCCUUAGGUUUGAGUUAAUUGAACCUUUGCCUUCCCUUUCUUCAACUGUGACUCCCGAACCCAUUUUCUCUUGUUUUUCAAAGACCUGGAGUUGUCAAAAAGGGUUUUGAUUUAUUUGAUUUUUGUCAAAAUAUUUUUUGGGUGACUUGGUACACCAAAACUCCAUACCAAGUGGCGACUCCUAUUUUUUCUUAAAAACCUUUUAGACUAAAUUUUGGACCCAAAUUGUCGCAUUCUUUUUAAGUCCCAUUAUAGGUCCUUUUUCAUUUAUUAUUAAUAAAUCACAUCUUUUAAACUAACACUUUCUUUUCCAUCGCGAAAAAUGGGACGCGACAACUUGGCGACUCUACUGGGACGCUAGAGAGUCCAAGCACUUGGUUUAGUUGUAUUUUCUCUUUGUAGCCCUUUUAUUUAUCAUAUUUGGAUGUUUUAGGUUGCAUUUUUCUUUUUUAGAAUGUUUUGCAUUUCACCUCGUAUUCGUUCCUCGUAUUUCAUGUAUGUGAUGAAUGGUUUAUUUAUUUACUUAUUCGUAUCGCGCUUUGCAUUUGGGAUGGGGAUAUUACCCUAGAGCCCCACAUUGGUUCUCGAUCCCUCCCCUCCAAACCGAGCACUAGCAUACGUGCAUACGUUUUAUUUUUUAUCCCUCAUUUUUUUCUUUUAGUGGCUUGUCACGCCACUCUUCCCUGUUAGGAUUAGGCGACCCACUUGGACGUGUGAUCGCGACACGACGUGUGCGUAGCAUGAUCCAAGGGGUCACUCAAUCUUCCAUUUUAAGCUUUGGGUUGAUAGCCUUUAGCUUUUAAUCGAAGAUUGAGGAUUUUGAUAGAUUCACUUGGACAUGUGGCCGUGGCACGACGUGCACGUAGCAAUGUCUGGGGAAUCGCUCGAGCCACCGACAAAGAAUCUUGGGAUUGGUGACCUUUGGUUUUCAAGUCUGAAGGCUCGGGGAACUAAAACCUAUCGAAUCUAGAUGCAUUAGUGAGCCGAUACCUUAUGCAUCCAUGAUAAUUUACCUAAGGUAGAGUCUGCCUUACCCUAUUAGGGACACUAUUCACGAGGGGAGGGAUCCAACCCCUCGUUUCCUUUUAUUACUUUCUCUUUGUAUUGUUUUGCUAUAAUGUGUUAUGUGUAUUUAUCUAAUUGAACUAAUUUUUUGGUUUUUGUCUCCAUUGCAUUCAUAAGCCCUAGAAAAUAAGAGUCCUGGCAUGGUACUCUCUGGGAGCCUACCCUAUUUGAUGUGACACGUUUAAAUUCAAUGCUUCGCAUUUGCAGCAUGAAUACAUUUCAUUUUAGCCUUAGCCUUACCCGGCAUUUAAAUGGGGCACUUUUAGAUCAUAUGUCAAUUAUUUCAUUGCAUAUAUAACCGCUUUAAUAAACUGGCAUCAUACAUCAACUUUAGAGGGAAUGCCGCAUAGAGGAUCCCGCGUUAGGAAUAAGCCGCCUUGUGUCUCGGAUAUGUAAUCUAAUGAGAUUUGCACGUUUAUAUUUUUUAUACCAUCCAAAGGGGUAGUGCACAAGGUAAGGUAGGAUUCGAUCCCUUUUGUGUGACGGCAUUGAGAAUGAUGAAACAGUUUUUACGCAUUAGAAUAUGAGCCUUUAAUAAUCACUUUUUGGCCAUUUUAUCAGAAUUGGUAAAAAUCCCUUGCGUAAAGGACAUUAAGUUGAAGAAAUUCACAAAUUCCUCAUUGUUGAGAUGAUAAGUAUGUCAAGGCUAAAUCUUGAUUUUAGAAAGUUCAUAGACUAAUGCAUCACAAAGAAUUUUUUGAAACUACCAAUGGGUUGACAAUUUAAUCAACUUUCAAAUAAACCAUCAAUUCCAUUCACCCCAUUUUUACAUCUAAGAUGAUUAAGUCAAUUUUUUGGAUAGACCAUCCAUUCUAUACAAUUUUGCUCAUUUUUAAUUUCAUUUUUUGAUAAAUCAUCAAUUUUAUUCAAUUCAUUUAAUCUGUUUAUUCAUUUUUAGGACAAUACAAUCAAUUUUGAAUAAAUCAUCAAUUCCAUCCAAUUCAUUAUUCAUUUAGUCAAUUUUUUUUUUUUUGAAUAAAUUCUCAAUUUCAUCCAAUCCAUUGGAUCAGUUUUAUUCACUUUCGGGAUAAUCUAGUCAAUUUUUGAACUAAUUAUCAAUUUCAUUCGAUCCAUUUGGCCCGUUUAUUCUUUUUUUUUAAAGUUUUGAUCUAUGGUUCACUGAAGAAACUAGUCGGGACAUUUCAAUCCUUUCAAAAAUAAGUUUUUCACACUAAAUUGAUUUUUAACAUCGCUUCUUGUGCCAAUCAAAGCAAUCAAUCCAUUCGGACUUUGUCCUCAUUUUGUUAGUUAUCUAUCAUUGACGAAAAAAAAUCCAAUUAGUCCAAUUUCUUUCAAAUGCACUUCAAUUGGAUCUCAAUAAGUCGAUCGGAUCCAUCAGGUAUUGUAUGGUGCCUACCCCAGAGGAUUGCAUUUUUCAUACUAGGCCAACUCUUGGCAUAAAAGGGGUCCUCCUAGGACAUGCAUACCAAUUUUACAGUUUUGCUUACUAACUUUGGGUAUUUUUCUUUUAUUUUUUCCUCUUCCCUACAUUUAUAAAAGUUGUUUCAACAAGGUAAAAAUAUUUUUCCUAUAUCUGAUAAUAUUUUUGGUCUGAUAAAUUUUGAAAAUUGCAAGUGUUACUUGAUUUUUGGGCAGAUCCUACAAUGUAAAAAAAAAAAAUGAAUGAAAAAUCCAUUUGAAAACGCUAGUGUAAAGUAUCUCAAAAAUCUUUUGAUUCAUUGUUUCUAAUAUAUUUUGUCUCAAAAGAUAGAAAGAGAAAGUGUGUAUAUAUUUGAAAGUGUAUUCUUUAGAGAUUUUUAUUUGCUCACAUGUAUAAUGUUUGACAAAAAAAAAUUCAAACAUUUGAAUAAUAAAGUUUUUAUUUAGACAAUUAUUGUUUUGUAUAUAUUCAUUCUUUAUUUGCUCAUUAGGAGAUUUCAUGAUAGAUUUUAAGAGAUAAGGCUAAAUUGUAAUUUUUUCGACCUCUUGUUCGAAAUUCAUGAGUGCAUGUCCAAUUCUCAAAAUUCUUUGCAUACACUAGAUUUGUGGCAUAAACUAUUCAAUGAGGAUAGUCGGAAAUAAAAGAGGUCAUUCAAAUUUGAUAGCUUGUCAUAAAAGAUCAACCCCAACACUUUUCAUUUUCAUUUUUUUUGUCCACUUCUAUUGAACCUCCAAGAUCAGUCGCAUUGGUUGACUAGCUUCAAAGUGAGACAAUUUUUUUACCGUGAAAAUGUCCAGGGUGUCUAAUUAGAUUCAAUCCACAUCUGAGUGAAAGCAAAAAUGUACAUUAUUUCUUAUUUAUUUUGGGAAUUUGGGAUGAUGCUUUAGGCUUUCAUUUCUCUAUCCAUACAGUUUUUAUCAUUCAGUCUCCUUUUUGAACCAUCGCAAGCACAAUUUUGUUUCAAAUAAGAGCCUUGGUGAUCACAACCCUAUAUUGAUGAAAUUUUCAAAUGUCAAAAGGAAAUGGAUUUUUCCAAUGGGCUAUUCUUUACUUUGGUUGUCAUGAGAAAUAAGAAUGAUACUUUGGCUAUCGUUUCUACUAUCUGCACACUAUCCAUCCUUUGCAUCCUCAUUUGAGCCUAAAUUGAUGGUUCGUUUCAAAAGCACUUAUGAUCGCACCCCCACGUUGGGGAAGGAGAUUUGAGAAUUGAAAAAAAAAAUGGCAAAGAUGCUCAAAAUUUUUGAAAGGGACAUCAAAUAAAGAAAACAAGUAAAAAAAAAAGAAGAAAGAAUUACAAGUUGGGGGAUUUUGACUCUACCAUUGAUAUUUUGGUAUUCAAUAUCGAAAAGAAAGAAGGGCCAUCUACACUCCAAAUUAGGGAGUUUUCAAUAUUAUCAUUGACAUUGGGAUAUCAGUAUUGGUAAAAAAAAUGUGAAAAAUGAUGAUGAAAUGAAAAGAAAAGAAAAAGCAAAGACAUCCAAUGCUGAAUUCCCUCUAGUGAUUGAAAAAAAAAAAGAGAGAGAGAGAGUCAAAUCAAAAUUGGGGCAAUUUUUGAAGGAAUGCGAUCUUAAGUGCGUUGUCCUUGAAAAGUUUAUUUCUUUUAGCUAUCGUUCUUAAGCCAUAUUACAAGCCCAUAAAAUCCAUUGCUGACUUGUCUUUCAUGACAAUUUGAAGUGAAAAUCUUGCCUCUAAGGGAUCUACCAAUCACUCAUGAUCAGAAGGCCAUAACCUGUUUUCAUAUGUUUAGCUAUCGUUUCUACCCAUAUAUUACAAGCAUAUACAGCCUAUAUGUUGACUAAGUUUUCUCAAGAAAUAAGAGUGAUAAACUAUUUGCUUUCACCAAGAUGUGAUACUGAAUGUGUUGGAUACAAUUUGGGCACAAAAUCAUGAGUAAUACCCAUUUGAUUGGUUCUAAAAGAUGAGCCAACGAGAAGAGGACCCUUUUCCCUCGAUAUCGAUCCCAAAAUGAGGAAGAGAUCUUUUGCAAUCUGGUUUUAUUUUGAGGGAUUUAUCAUGAAAUCUUCUAUAUGAGUUUGGAUAUGACAUUUAAAUUCUUCAUUUGAAAAAUAUAGUUUUUUUUCACAUUGUAUGUGAUUAUUUUGCAACUAAAAUAAGCCCAAAUUGGGGCAAAUUUUUUUUGUAAUAUAUUUGUGAGACUUCACUAAAUAAGUUCCAACUGAGGCAAAAUUUUAUAAUACAUUUGUAGGAUAUGUCCAAAGUCAAGUAUAUAUUUUUCAAAUCUUGAUAAGUCAACACUUUGCAUGAAUCUUAAUUGUUAUAUCAUUACUCAAAAAAAAGAGAAAAAAAAAAACAAGAAGAGCAAAAAGAAUUCUGAAAAUUCAAUUGUUUCGAAAAAUCCCCCCUUUGUGCAGGUGUUUAUGGUUAAGAUCGAGGAAAGGACGCAAGUGAAAGUCUUGCAAAUUUGGAGAGCAAUCAUGAAUAAAAGGGGGCGGUGAUACUACCUUGCAAAGUGGAGGAUCGGCUAUUUUUGCAAAAGGAGUACAUAUUUCGGCAGUCAAUUUGAAAGAAAAAAUGAAAAGAAAAAAAAAAAGAGAAAAAAGGGGGCAUAAAGAAAAGAAAAGAAAAAAGGGGAAUAAAGAAAAAAAAGAAAAGAGAAAAGAGAAAAUAAAAGAAAGGGGGAAUGAGAAAAAAAAAAGAGAGAAUAGUAAAAAAAGGAGGGAAAAAAUGAAAAAAAAAAAGAAAAAAACGAAAAAAGAGAGAAAAAAAAAAAAAAGGGAUUGAAAAAAAGAAAAAGAGAGUUUUCCCUUCGAUUUUGCAAAUUUUGCAAUUGAACUCUGGGAGCUUUUCAUUGGAGAUUACAUUUCUAAGUUGGGGUAACACCUUGCCCUCUUAUGCUGAAAUGGAAGUGGUAAUACAUGCCAAAACCGAGAUCCCGUCCUUGCACAUUUUGACAAAGGCUCAGGCAGAAGAAAUCGAAUGGAUUAAGGAGCACAAUGAGUUGCUGUCUCUAAUUGAUGAAAAAGAUGUUGAAUGUUUGUCAUGGACAAUGCUAUCAUCAAAGGAUGGUUCGUUAGUUAUGAUAAGAAAGACAAAUCUCGCUUAUUUGAAGUGAGGGAUAAGGUUUUGAAGUAAAUUCUUCCGAUUCAAGAGGAGGUUAAAGAAAAGUUUGCUCCAACUUGGCAAGGGCCAUUUAUUGUUCAAAGAGUGCUAUCCGGAGGAACACCCAUUCUCACAGAACUGGAUGGACAGGUUUUUCCUCUGCCAAUCAAUUCAGACAUGUGUAAGAAAUUUUUUAUCUGAUUAGGUGAUUUUUCUUUUUGAAAUACCAUCUAGGGUGGAUUAAAGGCGAACCUUCUUCUUUUCUCUUUGAAUAUCUUACCCUUGAUUUUUCCCUUUGAACCUUCAAAAUAACUUAAUAAUUCUUUUUGAUAGCCCCCUAAAGGUUGCAAAUCCCACAUCAGGGCAAAUUUUAUCUCCUAUUUGUCAUAAAAAAAAGAAGGAAAAUAGAUUCAAAAGCCAAACUGGGGCAAUUUUUUCAGUUUUAAUACCCUCAUACUGGGGCAAAUAUUGAUAGAACAUGAUCUUAGGGUUUUUGAAACCUCUUUGAGGAUUUUGCUCUCAAGCCCUAACAUUUUUUCUACACCCCACAUGACCCCAUCAUAAAAAUCAUAAAGUCUCGACCUCCGCUUUAGUGGUAUUUCUAAUAAAAAUCAUUUAAUCAAAUGGCAAAUGAUGUCAAUACACCUUCACCAAGUUUGCAUGGGAAGGAUUGUCGCACUGAUGCCAUUAUUUCUUAAAACAUAUUCUUGAGUUGAUAAAGGUUGUUGACAAGAUUUGUUCAUUGAGUGAAAACCCGAAUGGGUGUCUUUUCAAAAACAAAAAGAGAGAGAGAGAGAGAGAGAGAGAGAGAGAGAAAGAAAAAAUGAAAAAAAAAGAGAAAAAGAAGAAAAAGAAAAAAAGAAAUAGAAAAAGGAAAAGAAAAUGAGGGUGACCUUAGGGAAAAUCCGAAAUGCUAAGGUCAUCAAUGUAAGGUUUUGGAGCACAAGAGAAUCAUGAACGAAGAGCAGAGUGUUGAAACUUGAAACGGGCAGUCCUUCAAAUCUGGUUAUUAGAAAGAGUUGAUUUGUGAUACAAAGGGAAGUAUGACUGACUAAUGCUAGAAAAUUGAGAAGAUUCAACACAAGUUGCAGCACAACUCUUGGGGAGCAGUUUUGACAUCGAAAGAUCAUGCUUGCAUGGUUCUCAGGGCCAAAAGGAGCACAAGGAAUCACAUGGUAUUGGUAUCAUAUGAUCACUCUUUUUGCUUUUUCGAAAGCAUGAAAAAUGCGGCCUUCGUUAAACAUGAUUUACACUGGGGUAAAUAUCAAAAGGAAUGAGCUCCAAUUUUGGUAAUGCAUUUUAAAUCGGCUUUGUAAAAUAAAAAAAAAAAGUCUUUUAAAAUUGAGAGGACAGUGACAUAUGUAUGUACCUCUCAAAUCUCUUGAAGGGAGAGUUGUCUUUAGUAUUCUUCAAGUUUUAGUAUUCGUCACUUUUGAUUUUUUCAAAAACAAAACAAAACAAAAAAAAAGUGUGUUUCUUUCAUUUCUUCUAAAAUUAAAAAAAAAAAGAGAUUGCAAAUCCACCAACUUGAGCAACGUGCAUUUUAAUCUUUUAGUUUGAUAGUAUUGAACUUGCAUUUUCAUUUCUUUCAGUGUUUAAUUGGGCUCGAGUCAAUGCCACCAAUAUGUUAUUUCAAAAAAAAAACAACAAAAAAAAAAUCAAAUCAAAUCAAAUCAAAAUCAAUCAAGAAGAUUCAAUUUAAAUUCCUGUUGGAGCGUAAUCGCGUCCCUCCGCGCAUCAAUUUAAUUUUCUGUUGGUGAGUCUCAGCGUCCACGCGCACCCUUCUAUCCCCCUUCUCAACAAUUUAAAUUUCUUGUUGGUGAGUCUCAGUGUCCACCGCGCACCCUUCUAUCUCCCAUUCUUGACAAUUUAAUUUUUCCUGUUGGAGCGUAAUCGCGUCCUCCGCGCAUCUUUUUCUAAAAGACAAAUUUAAUUUUCUGUUGGUGAGUCUCAGCGUCCAUCGCGCACCCUUCUACCUCCCCUUCUUGACAAAUUUAAUUUCUUGUUGGUGAGUCUCAGCGUCCACCGCGCACCCUUCUAUCUCCCAUUCUUGACAAUUUAAAUUCCUGUUGGAGCGUAAUCGCGUCCCUCCGCGCAUCAAUUUAAUUUUCUGUUGGUGAGUCUCAGCGUCCACCGCGCACCCUUCUAUCCCCCUUCUCGACAAUUUAAAUUUCUUGUUGGUGAGUCUCAGCGUCCACCGCGCACCCUUCUAUCUCCCAUUCUUGACAAUUUAAAUUCCUGUUGGAGUGUAAUCGCGUCCCUCCGCGCAUCAAUUUAAAUUCCUGUUGGAGCGUAAUCGCGUCCCUCCGCGCAUCAAUUUAAUUUUCUGUUGGUGAGUCUCAGCGUCCACCGCGCACCCUUCUAUCCCCUUUCUCGACAAUUUAAAUUUCUUGUUGAUGAGUCUUAGCGUCCACCGCGCACCCUUCUAUCUCCCAUUCUUGACAAAUUUAAUUCCUGUUGGAGCGUAAUCGCGUCCCUCAGCCCAUCAAUUUAAUUUCUGUUGGUGAGUCUCAGCGUCCACCGCGCACCUUCUACCACCCAUUCUUGAUCAAUUAAUUUCUGUUGGUGAGUUCAGCGUCCACCGCGCACCUUCUACCUCUCAUUCUUGAAAAUUUAAAUUUUUGUUGGAGCGUAAUCGCGUCCCUCCGCGCAUCAAUUUAAUUUCCUGUUGGUGAGUUUCAGCGUCCACCGCGUACCCUUCUACCUCUCAUUCUUGAAAAAUUUAAAUUUUGUUGGAGCGUAAUCGCGUCCCUCCGCGCAUCAAUUUAAUUUCCUGUUGGUGAGUCUCAGCAUCCGCCGCGCACCCUUCUAUCCCCUUUCUUGGAGCGUAACCGCGUCCCUCCGCGCAUCUUUUUCUAGUUAUGAAAGUUACUUUUUCUUGACUGUUUUGACUAAUAAUUGUUGUGCUUUCUCAUUCAUUUGGUGUUUCAUGUUUAGAAGUUCUGAGAGCUCAGACUUUUUCGACUUUGCAAAGACCACAGUUGGUCAAUGCACUUGUUUCAUUGUGAUUCAUUUGUAUUCGAACUACGUUUGAUCUGAUUCCCAUGGUGGGAUACGUAGGCAACUCUACAUGGGUUCGGUCACAUUUGCUGCAAUGUUAUUGCAUCAUUUUGUCCAAUAAUUUCAGCCAAGUGUUGGCUUGUUUAUUUUAGUUCAGGUGCAGCUACAAGAGACAGGUAAGCAAUUUGGUGUCUACGUCUUUGCCUUGAGUUUCUUUGAAACUCUAGACAAAGAGGGGCAAACUGUAGACACCAAAUUUUUGUCAAUUUUUAAUAUUUUCUCAAGAUUUUUCUAUUUAAUGAAUCAUUUAUUUUCUAGCAUUUUAAUGUGCAUUUUCUUAUUUUUUGCAAGUUUGUUUAGAAAAAAAUAAACAAAACAAAACAAAAAAAGAGAAAACUAAAAAAUCAAAAAAUCAACAUAAUCAUUUUGUUUCACCAAAAUCACUUAACCCAUUCUUACACUCCACUUUCAGGACCUUUCUUUUCAUUAGCUAAGAAAUCAUCAUUUUGGUGAAUAACACACAGAAGCUCCACUUUCUCUCCCAAUAUACAUCUCUCGGGUCUCUCCUCACAGGAGAAGGAAGAAAAGGAAAAAAAUUUUCCCUCCCUCUCUCGGCUAGCUCUUAACAGACAAGAAAAAAAACAGACACAAGAAAAAAAAUUCUCUCGGUUCUCUCUCUGGUCUCAACCGAAAAAGAAAAAAAGAGAAAAGCUCCUCACCUCACUCUCUCCUUCUCUCGACUUGGGCAGAAGAAAGAAGACAAGAGGAACCAAAAAAAAGGGCUCCCUCUACACAUUUUCUUCACAAAAUCCAAACACAAAGAAGGGAAAAGGCAGCUAUCGGUCAAGGCUUGGAAAUUUCAUCAAAACUUCAACCGAAAGGUUUUCAUAUUUAUUGAGGUAUACUUUUAGUUUUUUUUGUCAUAUUAAAUCAAUGCUUCAUUGUUUAGUUUUCUUUCGUUUCUGCUGGCUGCCUUGCAUUGUUGUUGUUGUAUUGUUAAAUUGGGAAAUGGCAUGAACCAGAUUUAGGAAAAGGGAAUGUUUCUUGUGAAUGCAUGUUAAUUGUUUGAAAAAAUGCCAAAAUAAAAAAAAAAGAUUUUUAGGGGCUGUUUUGCUUUAUUUUAGACUUUUUUGUUGUUUUCUUGUCAAACUAAGAUUAUAGUUGUAAUGUAGAAGCUAUGAGGAGGAUUUUGGCAUAAUUUUAUGAUUUUUGGUGAAGAUUUGAGGGUUUUAAAAAAAUAAAAACUGGGCUGAUUUCUUGACUUUUUGGCCACCUUCGGGUCACCUUUUGUAAAAACUAACUCCAGAAUUGGAAUCUACGCAAAAAUCGAGUGACGGAGUGUAUAUUGGUGAAAUUCGGCGACCGGAGAUGUCGCGGCGACGGCGGCGGCGGUCCGGUGGCGGAGGCAACCAUGGCCGCCAGCAGGAGAAGCUUCAGCUUCUCGGUGGAAGGAGAAGAAAAGAAGAAGAAAGAAAGGAAAGAAAAGAAGGAAAAAAAAAAGGGAAUUGGCUAAUGUUUUAUUUCGAUUGGCAAGAGCUAGUUUUGGGUUGGGUUUUGAAAAAUGGGUUUUGGUUUAUUUCUCUUGGUUUUGGUUGGCUUGAGGGAUAAAAAGAUGGUUGGCCUGCCUAAAAAUGAUGGCCCAGUGGCCUGAUUUGUUAAGGAAUAAGAACAUUUUUGCAUAUCAGUCCUGUGCUUUCAAGUAUUGUUGCUACGGCCAGACAUUUUAAAUUUGUUUCACUUAUCCUUAAUUAUUGUACUUUGUCCCUGAACUUUAUUUUUAUCUAAUUUUGGCCCUAAACUUUGGAAAAUUAUAUUUUUUAUCCCAAAAGUUUUCAAUUUUUGCAAUUCAGUCCCUAGUGAAUUUUAACUCUCUUUUUUGUGAUUGUUUCUUUCUUUAAGCUAAUUAUGUUACUUUUGAAUAUAUUUAACUUGCAAUUUUAGAUGUUCUUAAAAUUUCUUUGCGUUUGAUACGUUAAUGUGAAUUUGGUAUUUUAACAUUAUUAUAUUUUCAAUUAAAUUGGUGCUAUGAUUCUUUUGUUCAUUGUGAGUAUAAAUAGGACAAUUUGACUCCACUUAGUCACCACUUCAAACGGGAGGUACUCCUAUUUAUUAUUUCAAUGUCAAUUACGUGCUCUUAUGUGCUCCUAUGUGUUCCUAUGUGUUUAUAUAUUUUUAUAUGUUUUAUUUAUUGAUUUAAAUGUUCAUUUAAAUUUUCUUAUAUUAUAUUUGUUUUUAAUUUAUAAUUAUUCGAGAGGCAUUUAAAUACCUCAAAAAUGUAAUAGAUAGGAUAAUUAGAUUUGUUUUAUUAUAUUUUUCCUUCUAGAUUGUAGUUAGGCGUUCCGAUGUAAUAGAUAGGUUUGCUGUUUAUGUGGCUUAUGUGUUAUAUGUUUUACCUGCUUUCGUUAGGAUUUUUGCAUCUAGAUAUUAUGCUUACGGUGUUACGUGCUAGUGCUCUUAUGUGUUUAUUUGUUUAAUUUAUGUUUUAUUUGUUUUACUAUGUAGUAUUAAUGCAUGGCGUCACCACUAGUCCACGCUAGUUGUGGCUUCUCCCCGCUUACUUGCAGCCCACGCUAGUAAGGAUUUUUAGAAAUGGCUAGUCCAACGCUAGAUCCUUUAGGUCGUCUUGCCUGAUUCAUUUUUGUGUGCUAUUCACUACAUUUUCAUGGCAUAUUUUCAUUUUUAGGAUCUUUUCUCAUUUUUAUGAUAUUCCUAAUUAUUAUAUUCCCUACCGUAUGUGCUAAUCAUGUCAUUUAGAAUUGCAUCUCAUUUAAGCUAGUUCAUUUGCUUGUUCAUGUUAGGAUAAUUAUUUUUCAAACAUGGGAAAUGGGUGAUUAUAACUUUUUAGUUUAAAUACCCAUUAAUCCUUGUAUAAGAAAAUUAUGUCACAAGUUUUUGCCUCCCGUACCAUUUAUGUUGCAUUCCCUUUUUCUUUGAUCACUUAUAUCUAUGUAUAUAAUUUAAUUUCAUCAUCAUUUGUAUACUCGUGACACCUUCAAGGAAUUAUUUUGGCCUUCGCAAUUAAUGCGAUUGGUUCGAUUAAACCCUUGAAUGGAUAUUUUGACCCUUUCGAUAUUUUAUAAAUUUAGAUUUGCAUCCAUGUAGGAAACAUCCAAAUAUGAUAAAAUUAAGGGUUAGAUUAGGAAAAUUUUGACUAAACCUCGCAACUAGCUUAGACUAGGUUGAAAGGGUGCCUUAGGUUUGAGUUAAUUGAACCUUUGCCUUCCCUUUCUUCAACUGUGACUCCCGAA